rnacentral:rRNA from 1 species
UACGGAGGGUGCAAGCGUUGCUCGGAAUUAUUGGGCGUAAAGGGCAGGUAGGUGGUCUCAUUUGUCCGGGGUGAAAUCCUUGAGCUUAACUCAAGAAGUGCCCUGGAGACGGUGAGACUAGAGUUUUGGAGAGGGUCGUGGAAUUCCCGGUGUAGCGGUGAAAUGCGUAGAGAUCGGGAGGAACACCGAUGGCGAAGGCGGCUCACUGGGCUGACCUUGACGCUGAGGCGCGAAGGCGUGGGGAGCGAACGGG